CAAGAGCCGCGCGGGUGCGUUCGCUGCAUGCACAAAACGCAACCGCUUUUGCUCGCGAGGGCAGAAGCAGCAGGCAGCAGCAGAGGUAAAGGUGAAGAAAUUUUCAGGAAAACAGGCAAUCCCUAUGGGUGCAUCUAACAGCCGUGAGGGUCCUUUGUUACAAAAGUCUAGUGAAGGAGGAGAAAAUGCCAGAAUCAAGUAUGCAGUAUCAUCUGUGCAAGAUCGGCGCAAGAACAAGAAAGAUGCUUUUGCAGCUGUCCCAGAUCUAGAUGACCUCACAUCUUUCUUUGGAGUUUAUGAUGGCCAUGAAGG